CCUACGGGCGGCAGCAGUGAGGAAUAUUGGUCAAUGGCCGGAAGGCUGAACCAGCCAUGCCGCGUGAAGGUCAGUGCCCUAUGGGCGUUAAACUUCUUUUGUGCGGGAGCAAUAAUGGUCACGUGUGGCCAGACGAGAGUACCGUACGAAUAAGCAUCGGCUAACUCCGUGCCAGCAGCCGCGGUAAUACGGGGGAUGCAAGCGUUAUCCGGAUUUAUUGGGUUUAAAGGGUGCGUAGGCUGUAAGGUAAGUCAGCGGUGAAAUGCCCCCGCUCAACGGGGUGAAGUGUCAUUGAUACUGCCUGGCUGGAAUGCGGAUGCCGUGGGAGGAAUGUGUGGUGUAGCGGUGAAAUGCAUAGAUAUCACACAGAACACCGAUUGCGAAGGCAUCUCACGAAUCCGCGAUUGACGCUGAUGCACGAAAGCGUGGGUAUCAAACAGGAUUAGAUACCCGGGUAGUC
rnacentral:rRNA from 1 species